AGUGGGGAAUAUUGCACAAUGGGCGCAAGCCUGAUGCAGCCAUGCCGCGUGUGUGAAGAAGGCCUUCGGGUUGUAAAGCACUUUCAGCGGGGAGGAAGGCGACAAGGUUAAUAACCUUGUCGAUUGACGUUACCCGCAGAAGAAGCACCGGCUAACUCCGUGCCAGCAGCCGCGGUAAUACGGAGGGUGCAAGCGUUAAUCGGAAUUACUGGGCGUAAAGCGCACGCAGGCGGUCUGUCAAGUCGGAUGUGAAAUCCCCGGGCUCAACCUGGGAACUGCAUUCGAAACUGGCAGGCUAGAGUCUUGUAGAGGGGGGUAGAAUUCCAGGUGUAGCGGUGAAAUGCGUAGAGAUCUGGAGGAAUACCGGUGGCGAAGGCGGCCCCCUGGACAAAGACUGACGCUCAGGUGCGAAAGCGUGGGGAGCAAA
rnacentral:rRNA from 1 species